rnacentral:rRNA from 1 species
AGAGUUUGAACCUGGCUCAGAUUGAACGCUGGCGGCAGGCCUAACACAUGCAAGUCGAGCGGUAGCACAGAGAGCUUGCUCUCGGGUGACGAGCGGCGGACGGGUGAGUAAUGUCUGGGAAACUGCCUGAUGGAGGGGGAUAACUACUGGAAACGGUAGCUAAUACCGCAUAAYGUCGCAAGACCAAAGUGGGGGACCUUCGGGCCUCAUGCCAUCAGAUGUGCCCAGAUGGGAUUAGCUAGUAGGUGGGGUAACGGCUCACCUAGGCGACGAUCCCUAGCUGGUCUGAGAGGAUGACCAGCCACACUGGAACUGAGACACGGUCCAGACUCCUACGGGAGGCAGCAGUGGGGAAUAUUGCACAAUGGGCGCAAGCCUGAUGCAGCCAUGCCGCGUGUGUGAAGAAGGCCUUCGGGUUGUAAAGCACUUUCAGCGGGGAGGAAGGCGKUAAGGUUAAUAACCUYRKCGAUUGACGUUACCCGCAGAAGAAGCACCGGCUAACUCCGUGCCAGCAGCCGCGGUAAUACGGAGGGUGCAAGCGUUAAUCGGAAUUACUGGGCGUAAAGCGCACGCAGGCGGUCUGUCAAGUCGGAUGUGAAAUCCCCGGGCUCAACCUGGGAACUGCAUUCGAAACUGGCAGGCUAGAGUCUUGUAGAGGGGGGUAGAAUUCCAGGUGUAGCGGUGAAAUGCGUAGAGAUCUGGAGGAAUACCGGUGGCGAAGGCGGCCCCCUGGACAAAGACUGACGCUCAG